rnacentral:rRNA from 1 species
UGGGGAAUAUUGCACAAUGGGCGCAAGCCUGAUGCAGCCAUGCCGCGUGUAUGAAGAAGGCCUUCGGGUUGUAAAGUACUUUCAGCGGGGAGGAAGGUGUUGAGGCUAAUAACCUCAGCAAUUGACGUUACCCGCAGAAGAAGCACCGGCUAACUCCGUGCCAGCAGCCGCGGUAAUACGGAGGGUGCAAGCGUUAAUCGGAAUUACUGGGCGUAAAGCGCACGCAGGCGGUCUGUCAAGUCGGAUGUGAAAUCCCCGGGCUCAACCUGGGAACUGCAUUCGAAACUGGCAGGCUAGAGUCUUGUAGAGGGGGGUAGAAUUCCAGAUGUAGCGGUGAAAUGCGUAGAGAUCUGGAGGAAUACCGGUGGCGAAGGCGGCCCCCUGGACAAAGACUGACGCUCAGGUGCGAAAGCGUGGGGAGCAAACA